rnacentral:lncRNA from 1 species
GGGAUGGAGUGUAUGGAGGUGGUGGCUUGACGGUGGGCGGUUUUGGAGUGUAAGGUGGAGGGGAUGGAGUGUACGGAGGUGGUGGCUUGACGGUGGGUGGUUUUGGAGUGUAAGGUGGAGGGCAUGGAGUGUACGGAGUUGGAGGCUUGACGGUGGGCGGCUUUGGGGUGUGAUGAGGUGGCUUGUCGGUGGGUGGUUUGGGAGUGUGAUGAGGUGGUUUAACGGUGGGUGGUUUUGGGGUAUGAUGAGGUGGUUUUGGGAUAUGAUGAGGUGGUUUAACGGUGGGUGGUUUUGGAGUGUGAUGAGGUGGUUUAACGGUGGGUGGUUUUGGAGUGUGAUGAGGUGGUUUGACGGUGGGUGGUUUUGGAGUGUGAUGAGGUGGCUUGACAGUGGGUGGUUUUGGAGUGUGAUGUGGUGGCUUGACAGUGGGUGGUUUUGGAGUGUGAUGUGGUGGUUUGACAGUGGGUGGUUUAGGCGGUUUAACGGGAUGUUGAGGAGGUUUAAC